AUGAGAAGCAAGCACAUAGCAGACCCCAGAAAUAUCUGAAUCUCCCCUUCCUUUAUCAGAAUUCAAGAGCACAGAAAAUCAGAAAUCAAUCAACUCAAUCGCUAUGGCUAUUAGGUCGUUACCAUAAUUAACCUCUCAAUACGCCUUCUCAUUUUGUUUCGUCGCCUUCUCAAUAAUCGUUUCAGAUUGUCUAUGCUAACAAGGAGGAGAGGGGGAGCAUUUCUGCAUUUUACAUGGCUGAUAAUCGCAAUGUUAAUAAUGCCAAGGCUGGAGCAAGUACAACCAGUCCCUUCACAAUCAAUCUUGAAAACUUCAGCAAACGGAUAAAGGCACUGUACUCCCACUGGAAUCACUUCAAGAAUGAUAUGUGGGGUGGUUCCGAGGCGUUCUCCAUAGCUACUCCUCCACGAUCAGACGACCUCCGUUACCUAAAGUCGUCUGCCUUGAACAUGUGGUUGGUCGGUUAUGAGUUCCCAGACACAAUCAUGGUGUUCAUGAAGAAAGAGAUCCAUUUGCUGUGUAGCCAAAAGAAAGUAUCAUUACUACAAGUUGUGAAAAAACCUGCUAGAGAUGCUGUGGGUGUGGAAGUCAUAAUGCAUGUGAAGGGUAGAAAUGAUGACGGUUCUGCAUUAAUGGAUGAUAUACUGGAAGCUGUUCGUGCGGAGUCACGGGUGGAUGGCUAUGACAACCCCAUUUUUGGGACCAUUGCUAGAGAAACUCCUGAAGGGAGUCUUUUGGAGGUGUGGGAUGAGAAGUUGAAGAAUGCUAAUUUUCAACUCACUGAUGUAACUAAUGGGUUCUCCGACCUGUUUGCUGUGAAAGAUUCUGUUGAGAUUACUAAUGUGAAGAAGGCUGCAUACCUGACUUCCUCCGUCUUGAAAUAUUUUGUGGUCCCGAAAUUGGAGAAGAUCAUUGAUGAGGAGAAGGAAGUUACUCAUUCUUCCUUAACGGAUGAUACUGAAAAGGUCAUAACUGAACCUGCGAGGAUAAAGGUGAAGUUGAAAGCGGACAAUGUUGAUAUCUGCUACCCACCAAUUUUUCAGAGCGGAGGACAAUUUGAUCUGAAACCAAGUGCACAAAGCAACGAUGACAAUCUAUUCUAUGAUAAUACAGGUGUAAUCAUAUGUGCAAUGGGGUCUCGUUACUGUAACUAUUGCUCAAAUGUGGCUAGGACUUUCAUGAUUGAUGCCAACUCGUUGCAGAUCAAGGCAUAUGAGGUCCUCCUGAAGGCCCACGAUGCAGCAAUAGCUGCUUUAAAGCCGGGAAAUAAGGCUGUAGAUGCCUAUUUAGCAUCUGUUUCUGUAGUAAAAAAUGAGGGACCUGAAUUUGCUCCUCACUUGACAAAAUCUGCAGGAACUGGAAUAGGCCUCGAGUUUCGUGAGUCAAGCCUCAGUUUAAAUGGAAAAAAUGACAGGAUAUUGAAAACUGGAAUGAUCUUCAAUGUGUCUUUGGGGUUUCAGAAUUUGGAAAUAGAGACCAACAAUCCGAAAACACAGAAGUUUUCUUUAUUGCUUGCAGACACAGUUAUCAUUGGUGGAACUGCCCCUGAAGUGGUGACUUCCCCAUGUACGAAAGCUACCAAGGAUGUGACAUAUUCAUUUAAUGACGAGGAAGAAGAGCCACUAAAAGCCAAAUCCAGGCCUAAAGUUUCUGAGACACUCCCAUCCAAGGCAACACUAAGAUCGGUUAACCAUGACGUAUCGAAGGAGGAGUUAAGGAGGCAGCAUCAGGCAGCACUGGCUCAACGGAAGAAUGAAGAAACUGCAAGGAGACUUGCUGGUGGCGGUUCUGAAGGGAAAAAUCAUGGUCCCCUGAAACCCUCUGGUGAGUUGAUUGCAUAUAAGAAUGUCAACGAUCUACCUCCUCCAAGGGACUUUAUGAUUCAAGUGGACCAGAAACAUGAGGCCAUCCUCUUACCUAUCUAUGGAAAGAUGGUUCCUUUCCAUAUUGCUACCGUGAAGAGUGUGUCCAGUCAACAGGACACCAGUCGUACAUGCUACAUUCGGGUAAUCUUUAAUGUACCUGGUGCUCCUUUCGCUCAAAACGAUCCCAACUUACAGAAAUUUCAUGAUUCUAUCUAUGUCAAAGAAGUUUCAUUUCACUCCAAGGACCCGAGGCAUAUUAGUGAAGUUGUUCAAUCAAUCAAGACUCUCCGCAGGCAGGUUGCCUCACGUGAAUCAGAAAAGGCUGAAAGAGCUACUUUAGUCACACAAGAAAAACUCCAGGUUACUGGAGCAAAAUUUAAGCCAAUUAGGUUGUCGGACUUGUGGAUCCGUCCAGUUUUUGGUGGUGGUGGAAGAAAGCUUGGUGGUUCCUUGGAAGCACAUACAAAUGGAUUUCGUUAUGCAACGUCUAGACAUGAUCAACGGGUGGAUAUCAUGUUUGGCAACAUUAAACAUGCAUUCUUCCAGCCGGCAGAGAAGGAAAUGAUAACUCUUGUGCAUUUCCAUCUGCACAACCACAUAAUGGUGGGAAACAAGAAAACAAAAGAUGUUCAGUUUUAUGUCGAAGUCAUGGAUGUUGUACAGACGAUUGGAGGUGGAAAGAGAUCUGCAUAUGACCCUGAUGAGAUUGAGGAGGAGCAGAGAGAGAAGGAUAGAAAGAACAAAAUUAACUUGGAUUUUCAGAACUUUGUCAACAGAGUGAAUGAUCUUUGGGGACAACCUCAAUUCAAGUCAUUUGAUUUAGAGUUUGAUCAACCACUGAGAGAGCUUGGCUUCCAUGGGGUGCCACAUAAAUCAUCUGCAUUCAUAGUUCCAACAUCAAGUUGCCUUGUUGAGCUCAUUGAAAUGCCCUUUGUGGUAAUCACCCUUGGCGAGAUUGAAAUAGUUAACCUGGAGAGAGUUGGUCUUGGUCAGAAAAACUUUGACAUGACCAUUGUAUUCAAGGACUUCAAGCGAGAUGUAAUGCGGAUUGAUUCAAUCCCCACAUCGUCACUAGAUGGCAUUAAGGAGUGGCUGGAUACAACAGAUCUCAAGUACUACGAGAGUAGGCUAAAUCUUAACUGGAGGCAGAUAUUAAAAACAAUCACCGACAACCCUGAACAAUUCAUCGAGGAUGGUGGAUGGGAAUUCUUGAACUUGGAAGCUAGUGAUUCGGAUUCUGACAACUCACAGGAGUCAGAUCAAGGAUAUGUCCCUUCAGAUGUACAAUCUGAGUCUGCUGCCUCAGAGGAGGAGGAUGACGACAGCGAGUCACUAGUGGAGUCCGAGGAUGGCGAUGAAGAUGAUUCCGAAGAAGUGUCCGAGGAAGAUGAAGGGAAAACCUGGGACGAGUUGGAAAGGGAAGCUAGUAAUGCAGAUAAAGAGAAGGGAAAUGAGUCAGAUAGUGAGGAUGACAGGAAAAGGAGGAAAAUGAAGGCUUUCGGGAAAUCUCGGCCACCGGCAAGACGACCAGGAGGAGGAGGCACCCUCCCUAAGAAGGCCAGGUUUAGAUAAAAAGAGCCGCGCCGGACUUCUUCAACCUCGUCGCCGUCGGCGAUCUCUUCUCCGUCAGCCGCCCCGCCAUAUCGAAGCCGAGCAACAUCUUCUCCUCGGCCUCGUGCCUCAUCUCCGAUUAAACCCUCUUCAUCCCCAUCAAGGGCGACGCCCUCUACUAGGACGCCCGUUACACCAAAGAAGUCGAAUGUGGCUCCUUCAAUUGGUACCAGCGCUAUUAAGCUCUGCAUCCCUUUAUACGCAAAUAUAUCCACCCAAUUCGUGCGUGCUCAUGGUUAGUUGUGGAAAUGCUGUGUCAUUAGGCUGUUGCUAUAUAUGGAGUGCAUUGACAAUGCAAUAAGCAUUGCAGGCACUUAAAAAUUCAAGUGGGGGAUAUGUUGUAUCUCAAUUCAGCUCCUUAUAGGCCACAGACGUUAUUUGCAGCUGCUAAUGCAAAGUUAUCUCCUUAUUUCUUUGGGCAUUGAGGCAAAGGUGGGCACCGUGGUACAUCGCUUGAAGCUUCAGCCGACUUAAGAAUUGCAGUGACGCAGCAUCCAGGCUCAGUAAAUCGUCUGUGGUGAUAAUCACAGCAAUAGCAACCACAGCUGCACUAGUCUCGUUGAAGCAUAGGCGAGAAGCGUACAGAAGGGGCAGUGAAGUGGACUCAGCCUACUCUAGUUCAUCACAGCAAAGGCGACCGCUGUUUGAUAAUGGCGGUGGCAGGUGUGAUUUCAGAUGGAUGGAUCCAAUGGAAGCCACAAAUAAUCUGAGUGAGGAGAUCAUAAUAGGAGCCAUCUACAGAGCUGAAUUGUUUAGUGGAGAGACAGUGGCGAUCAAGAGGAUAGCGAGCGAGGAAGAAUGAUCUGAUGUUGGAUAGAAGCUUUGUUUAUCCUUGGUGUUUCUAACGUUUUCCAGUUUCUUCAUUGAGUUUAUGGAAAUAUAUAUAUAUAUAUA